rfam:Gossypium raimondii Chr09_contig_309, whole genome shotgun sequence.
UAUUAAAAUUUAAUUAAUUUGUACAAUUAAAAAUUGACGCGGCUGACAAAAUAACUUAUAGUGUCAUGUGCAAAUGACAUGCCAUGUGUAUCUCAUGUUGAUGUACAAGGAUCGAUUUUUAACAAUAAAAAUGAAUGGAAUUUUUAACA